GCGCCGCGCCUUGUGGGGAAGCGGGUUGCUUCUCCCGGCGGGGCGCGAGGCCUGCGCUUGAACCCAGGGCCGGAUUUAGGUUUGAUGAGGCCCUAAGCUACUGAAGGCUGAACCUGCAAAGAACGAAGGUGAUAAGCACUAACUGGCAUUGUCCUUUAGAGGAACACAACCCAGGACAGACUUCCCAUCUUCUUUAAGAGCGACAAAGAUGUUCCAGUUCAGAAGUUUUAAAACAUCAGCAAGAAAGGAGUUUCAGGAGCUGAUGCUUACUGCAGUACUGAAGGCAAUGAAGCAUAUUGUUUCUGUUGUUGGUAACACAUAAAUUGAUUGCACGGCAUCAUGUUAUAUGUUUAUGACCAAGUUACCCGGACCUUCAAAUAUGUUACCACGUUUCACGAUGCGCAGGGCAAAGUGGAUCUCAAGCAUUACCUAUAAGAGCAUAUUUGAAAUAGAUUAUGCUUCUGUUUAAGGGACAAUCACAUAGAACGUUUCGUAUCCGAUACGAUUUCUGAUGGACUAUGUACUUUUAAAAUGGCCUACUACCUGCAGUAGCAAAAUUCACUUGGUGUUCACUAUUCUGAAAAUAUAAUGGGUGGAAAAAGACAUAAA